CUUUCUAGCAGGCUGUGGGAGCAGCCUCAGAUCUGGCGGGGUGAGCAGGCCACCAGAAUACCCAGAGUAUGUCUGGAAAAACGGUGACUCCCAGACAUGCCCGCCAGACCUGGACAGGCAGGACCAUGCUGGUGAGAACUUGGGGGCUGCAGCUGGAGACUCUGGUGGCUCACGCCUGGAAUCCCAGCACGUGGGGAGGCCAGGGCAGGAUCACUUGAGCUCAGGAGUUGGAGACCAGCUUGGGCAACAUAGUGAGACCCUGUCUCUACUAAAAAUUGAAAAAUGAGCUGGGUGUCGUGGUGCUCGCCUUGUAGUCCCCGGCUAUGCGGGGGAGGCUGAGGUGGGAGGAUCGCUUGAGCCUAGGAGUUCCAGGCUGCAGUGAGCUGUGAUGGUGCCACUGCAUUCCAGCCUGGACAACAGAGAGACCCUACCUUCUCCCACCCUAUGGGAAGGGGGUGUGUCUUGUUUUCAUGUCACCCUUCUGCUCUCCCUACACCGUUCCCCACCAGGCUGCUGGUCAGCGCCUCCCAGGAUGGGAAGCUCAUCAUCUGGGACAGCUACACCACCAACAAGGUUCACGCCAUCCCGCUGCGCUCCUCUUGGGUCAUGACCUGUGCCUACGCGCCCUCAGGGAACUUUGUGGCCUGUGGGGGGUUGGACAACAUCUGCUCCAUCUACAGCCUCAAGACCCGCGAGGGCAACGUCAGGGUCAGCCGGGAGCUGCCUGGCCACACUGGGUACCUGUCGUGUUGCCGCUUCCUGGAUGACAACCAAAUCAUCACCAGCUCUGGGGAUACCACCUGUGCCCUGUGGGACAUUGAGACAGGCCAGCAGACAGUGGGUUUUGCUGGACACAGUGGGGAUGUGAUGUCCCUGUCCCUGGCCCCCGAUGGCCGCACGUUUGUGUCAGGCGCCUGUGAUGCCUCUAUCAAGCUGUGGGAUGUGCGGGAUUCCAUGUGCCGACAGACCUUCAUCGGCCACGAAUCUGACAUCAAUGCAGUGGCUUUCUUCCCCAACGGCUACGCCUUCACCACCGGCUCUGACGACGCCACGUGCCGCCUCUUCGACCUGCGGGCCGAUCAGGAGCUCCUCAUGUACUCGCAUGACAACAUCAUCUGUGGCAUCACCUCUGUUGCCUUCUCGCGCAGCGGCCGGCUGCUGCUCGCUGGCUAUGACGACUUCAACUGCAACAUCUGGGAUGCCAUGAAGGGCGACCGUGCAGGGGUCCUCGCUGGCCACGACAACCGCGUGAGCUGCCUCGGGGUCACCGACGAUGGCAUGGCUGUGGCCACGGGCUCCUGGGACUCCUUCCUCAAGAUCUGGAACUAACGGCCCCACCCCCUCUGGGCCCAGGCCGGGAGGGGUCCUGCCCACGCCCACACUACAGGCCAGGGCUUCGGGGCUGGGCGCACUCCCAGCCCCCUUCCCUGGGCCACGGGGCCUUGGGUCCCUGCCCUCCCACCCAGGUUUGGUUCCUCCCGGGGCCCCCACUGUGGAGAUAAGAAGGGGAUGGAAUAGGGGAAGAGGAGGGGCAGGAGGCCCUCAUCCUUCUGCUGCCCUGGGGUUGGGGCCUCACCCCUCUGGAGGGCCAGAGGCAGGAGGUGGAAACCCCAGGGGCUGGCUUUUUUAAAACUGGUUUUAUUUUAAUUUUUAUUAUAUUUUCAGUUUUUCCAUAAAGGAGCCAAUUCCAACUCUG
rnacentral:sRNA from 1 species